GAUGAACGCUGGCGGCGUGCCUAACACAUGCAAGUCGAGCGAUUCUCUUCGGAGAAGAGCGGCGGACGGGUGAGUAACGCGUGGGUAACCUGCCCUGUACACACGGAUAACAUACCGAAAGGUAUGCUAUACGAGAUAACAUAAGAAAUUCGCAUGUUUUUCUUAUCAAAGCUCCGGCGGUGCAGGAUGGACCCGCGUCUGAUUAGCUAGUUGGUGAGGUAACGGCUCACCAAGGCGACGAUCAGUAGCCGACCUGAGAGGGUGAUCGGCCACAUUGGAACUGAGACACGGUCCAAACUCCUACGGGAGGCAGCAGUGGGGAAUAUUGCACAAUGGGCGAAAGCCUGAUGCAGCAACGCCGCGUGAGCGAUGAAGGCCUUCGGGUCGUAAAGCUCUGUCCUCAAGGAAGAUAAUGACGGUACUUGAGGAGGAAGCCCCGGCUAACUACGUGCCAGCCGCCGCCGUAA
rnacentral:rRNA from 1 species